GAUGAAUUUUUAUCCACGAAUCUAUAAUGUAUUAACAAAUUAAUAUUAUUACUAAGUGUUAAUUUUAGUGUUAAACAAACGUCAGAAAAAAUGUACACGCCUAAAAUUUUAAUUUUCUAUUCAGUUAUACCAACCGAAAUCUUCAACUAUUUGUCUACUUUAUUACACGCAGUACCUAUACACAAUAGUACUAUAUAUACCUAUAGUAACUACACAACGCCACGCGUGCGCACACGUGUUACUUUGUCCAAGCUGUUGGUAGUCAUUAUUCUCGAAACAAUGAGGAGGCCUAAGUUCAAUCGUGCGCGGAUUCAGUAACCGCAAACUCGAGAUGAAUAGAUAGAGAUACCUAACUGCUGUACUCUACAGUACCUAUGCAUAUGUGUUUGCCCACAGUGCCCUUCCAAAACAUUUUUCAUUAUUCGUGUUGUUUCUCUCGGGAGUUAUGCCUCACAAACUACCAAUGUGUAGGUAUAUGCCUGGUAUAUAUGGCGGCCGUCACGACCGCUGCAGUGGAUGACCAGUCACGGAUUUUUUUCUUUGAGAUGCUACAAUUCACUAAUAUAUACUAUAUAUAAAUAAUUUACGAGUAUUACAAAGGUGAAAAUCGGGGGAAUUGUUCGACAAUAUAUUUAGUUUCUAGAUUGUCAUUUAAUUAGUGUCACCGUGCGUCUUAUUACUUUUAAAUCAUUGCCUGUUACGUUGUGAAUAUUAUUUUAUUUUUCGAUAUUUUUCAUCAGUUGUCACGAAUAUGUAUACAAAACGUAUAUACUAUUCAAAAGUUGUGUGCUAUUGUUAUCAGGUUGAUCAAAAUUAUAUUUUUAAUAUUAAUAUUUUAUAUUGAUGUAUAUUGUCAAUUAUCAUCAUUUAUCAUUUUUACUUAUAUCAUUUUAUUUUGAAGAAUAUUUUUUUGUCAGUUUGUUGUUAUUUUUGUUUUCUAUUUAGUAUUUAUACAUAUUUUAAAUAAAAUCCUUCCUCAGAGUAAAACGAUGAAUUCCUACCAGGGUCAAUUUUUACGCACGAAACCAGACAGUUGUGGCCGUGGUCCUCUCUACUCAGUUUUAUCGCUCUGCUACACUGAAGUAUCGAUUAGUACUCAAUUUUAACGGGUGUAAUAUACCGAGUGCUCGUACAUAUAUCUAUAAUGCAUUGCCAGAUUAGAUUUACCUAUCACGGUACUGAAGGAUAAUAAAACACUUAUAUUUUAUGAAACUAUACAUCCCUACAAACAGUAGAACUGUAAAAGUAUAUAAUAAUAAACACUCGUAUUCAGAAUAAUUAGUUAAAAACAAUUUACAUUAUACAUUAAUAGUAAACAUAGAUAAUAUAAUUAAUUUUAAAUCAAUGUUAAUUUCUUACUUUUUCUCGGAUUUUUCAACAUAUGUAUUAUUUGCUAGUAUUGUAUAUACCUAAUGUAUAUUCAUUUUUGUUUCAGGUUAGUACAUAUCCAAGUUCCAUAUAAUAAAAACUCCGUAAUUUGUAAAUUUUAAUUUAAACAUCUAUGACGUAUCAUCAAAUUAACUGUAAACGUUCUCUUCCAAUCGGUUAAAGUGCUUGGGGAAUGUGGGGGCGCAUCCUUAAUACGUGAGUACAUUAUUUUCUCGUCCAACGUUAAUGUCUUCAAUCGUACUUUCCCCUUCAAAAAAUCGAUUCCGUCUUACCGUAGUGUUUUAUUUUUUACUUGGAUUUUGUCAUCGAGAUUCGGGGCAAAUAUAAAGUGCGACUUAAUGCAGUGAAUACAUUACGUAUUGACAAAUGUCUUUGGUGGCCACGGGAUAAGACUAUAUAAUAUCGAGAUCGACAGAAAUUAAUUGUUUAACGUAUUUGGAACUAUCCGAGGUAACCUGAAUUCGAUUAAUUUUCUUUUAUACCAUAAAUUAUCGUUAUUCAUAAAAUGUUGAUGUUCUUUUAAAGCUAUUUAAAUUCUAUAGUACACGAAAUAUACGUAAUUAUAAUAGUUUAGGUAUAUUUUAUUUUAUAGGUACCUAAUACUAUU